UACGGAGGGUGCGAGCGUUGUCCGGAAUCACUGGGCGUAAAGGGCGCGUAGGCGGUCUGAUAAGUAGGGGGUGAAAUCCUGCGGCUUAACCGCAGGGCUGCCUUCUAAACUGUCAGGCUCGAGCACAGUAGAGGCAGGUGGAAUUCCCGGUGUAGCGGUGGAAUGCGUAGAGAUCGGGCAGAACAUCAGUGGCGAAGGCGGCCUGCUGGGCUGUUGCUGACGCUGAGGCGCGACAGCGUGGGGAGCAAACAGG
rnacentral:rRNA from 1 species